rnacentral:rRNA from 1 species
UACGUAGGGGGCAAGCGUUGUCCGGAUUUAUUGGGCGUAAAGAGCGUGUAGGCGGCCAUACAGGUCCGUUGUGAAAACUGGAGGCUCAACCUCCAGACGUCGACGGAAACCGUAUGGCUAGAGUCCGGAAGAGGAGAGUGGAAUUCCGUGGUGUAGCGGUGAAAUGCGCAGAUAUCAGGAAGAACACCCGUGGCGAAAGCGAGGUCCUGGAUGCCUACUGACGCUGAGACGCGAAAGCCAGGGGAGCGAACGGG